GAAGGAGUAUCGAUUCUGCGUUCCAGUUGGGCGUAAUGAGUGGCCGAAUGAACUGCAGCCAAUCACCCUCUUGUUUUUCAGGAGCGUUGCCGGAGAAGGAGGGAGCGUGAGUUCUUGAGAUGGAGGGGCUGAGACCCAGAGAAGGAAAAGCACUGAGAAAGCCCUCGAUAUGAACACACGGCUAUGGAGUAGGAUAAGGACUCAAGGCCCCGAUGGGCUCUUCUCAAGGAUCACGGAAGCCAGCGACAGGAUCCUUUCCCUGGGGCGUAGGGGGAUCAGAAAAUGGAGAAGAGGGUCCUGCAGAUCCAUUCCCGCAGCCUCGCAGCAGUCCUGCUUCGGAUCCCCGCUGCUUCCAUCCCAGGCCUUUUCCCUCCCUCACCUCCUUUCCUCCUCUGCAGUUCCAGUUCCCUGAGGCCAGUUCCACUUUCCUCU